UUUCCAUCCAAAGCCUCAAUGAUGACCAAGGCAGUUGGAAAACAACUGUACCAAUGGAAUCAUCCAGUGUGUUGGAAAUUAUGAUAUAUACUAAUGAAGAUGCCAGUAGUAAGCACCUGAGUUUGCAGAAGAAAAAUGUGCCUCUAGUUGCUCUAAUUAUACGUGUGCUGUAACUGAUACAAUUUAGCUUGAGA